rnacentral:rRNA from 1 species
GUGUCAGCCGCCGCGGUAAUACAGAGGUGGCAAGCGUUGUUCGGAAUUACUGGGCGUAAAGGGCGCGUAGGCGGCCUUCUUAGUCGGACGUGAAAUCCCCGGGCUUAACUCGGGAACUGCGUCCGAUACUGGUCGGCUUGAGUUCGGGAGAGGAAUGUGGAAUUCCAGGUGUAGCGGUGAAAUGCGUAGAUAUCUGGAGGAACACCGGUGGCGAAGGCGGCAUUCUGGACCGAAACUGACGCUGAGGCGCGAAAGCCAGGGGAGCAAACGGGAUUAGAAACCCUAGUAGUCC